rnacentral:rRNA from 2 species
CGACCCCAGUCAGGCGGGAUCACCC